rnacentral:rRNA from 1 species
AUUGAACGCCGGCGGCAUGCCUUACACAUGCAAGUCGAACGGCAGCACGGGAGCAAUCCUGGUGGCGAGUGGCGAACGGGUGAGUAAAGUAUCGGAACGUGCCCAGUCGUGGGGGAUAACGUAGCGAAAGUUACGCUAAUACCGCAUACGAUCUAUGGAUGAAAGCGGGGGAUCGCAAGACCUCGCGCGAUUGGAGCGGCCGAUAUCAGAUUAGGUAGUUGGUGGGGUAAAGGCUCACCAAGCCGACGAUCUGUAGCUGGUCUGAGAGGACGACCAGCCACACGGGGACUGAGACACGGCCCAGACUCCUACGGGAGGCAGCAGUGGGGAAUUUUGGACAAUGGGCGAAAGCCUGAUUCAGCCAUGCCGCGUGCAGGAUGAAGGCCUUCGGGUUGUAAACUGCUUUUGUACGGAACGAAAAGGUUUGGCCUAAUAAGCUGAGCUCAUGACGGUACCGUAAGAAUAAGCACCGGCUAACCACGUGCCAGCAGCCGCAGUAA